UAUGAUGAGACUGCGGCGGAUUAGAUUGUUGGUAGGGUAACGGCCUACCCAGUCUUAGAUCCGUACGGGCCUUGGAAGAGGUAACCCCGGAGAGGGACACUGAGAUACUGGUCCCCAGCCCUACGGGGUGCAGCAGGCGCGAAACCUUUACAAUGCACGAAAGUGUGAUAGGGGGACUCAAAGUGCCUAUACAUUGUAUAGGCUUUUGCCAACUCAAAAUUUGUUGGCGAAUAAGUGGUGGGAAAGACUGGUGCCAGCCGCCGCGGUAACACCAGCGCCACAAGUGGGAAUCGGUAUUAUUGGGCCUAAAGCGUCCGUAGCAGGUUUGGUAAAUUGCUUGUGAAAUCGUAUAGCUCAACUAUACGGAUUGCUGGCAACACUGCUAAACUAGGGACCGGGAGAUGUCAGAGGUAUUCAAGGGGGAGCGGUAAAAUGCGAGAAUCCCUUGAGGACCACCUGUUGCGAAGGCGUCUGACAAGAACGGGUCUGACUGUGAGGGACUAAAGCUAGGGGAGCGAACCGGAUUAGAUACUGAGGCUGAUGGCAAAAUACUUGUUUGUCUGUUCGUCAAAAACAUACUGGACAAUCAUGCUAUCAUCAGCAAUAACUCAGCUAAUUACCCGAGUAGUCCUAGCCCUAAACGCUGCGAGCUAGGUGUUGCGUAAUCUUCGGGAUUACGCAGUAUCGUAGAGAAGUCGUUAACUCGCCGCCUGGGGAAGUACGGCCGCAAGACUGAAACUUAAAGGAAUUGGCGGGGGAGCACCACAAGGGGUGCGGCGUGCGGUUUAAUCGAAUUCCACGCCGAAAAUCUCACCAGAGGCGACGGCAGGAUGAAAGACAGUCUAAAGGGCUUUCUUGACGAGCCGAGAGGUAGUGCAUGGCCGCCGUCAGCUCGUAUCGUGAGAUGUCCUGUUAAGUCAGGUAACGAGCAAGACCUGUACCCAUAAUUGCUAGCGGAUGUUACACAUGACCGAGCACAUUAUGGGAACUGCCUUGGAAACAAGGAGGAAGGCGCAGGCAACGGUAGGUCUGUAUGCUCCGAAUCUUCUGGGCUACACGCGCGCAACAAUGGUUAGGACAAUGGGAUGCAACUCCGAAAGGAGAAGCUAAACCUCGAAACCUGAUCUAAGUCUAGAUUGAGGGUUGUAACUCACCCUCAUGACACCGGAAUCCCUAGUAAUCGGUCUUCAUCAUGGACCAGUGAAUGUGUCCCUGCUCCUUGCACACACCGCCCGUCAAACCAACCGAGCAUGGCUUGAGUGAGCCCUGGUUUAAUUGAUCAGGUCAAA
rnacentral:rRNA from 1 species